GACGAACGCUGGCGGCGUGCUUAACACAUGCAAGUCGAACGGAAAGGCCCCCUUGUGGGGUACUCGAGUGGCGAACGGGUGAGUAACACGUGAGUAACCUACCCUUGACUUUGGGAUAACUUCAGGAAACUGGGGCUAAUACCGGAUAGGAGCUCCUGCUGCAUGGUGGGGGUUGGAAAGUUUCGGCGGUUGGGGAUGGACUCGCGGCUUAUCAGCUUGUUGGUGGGGUAGUGGCUCACCAAGGCUUUGACGGGUAGCCGGCCUGAGAGGGUGACCGGCCACAUUGGGACUGAGAUACGGCCCAGACUCCUACGGGAGGCAGCAGUGGGGAAUAUUGCACAAUGGGCGGAAACCUGAUGCAGCAACGCCGCGUGCGGGAUGACGGCCUUCGGGUUGUAAACCGCUUUCGCCUGUGACGAAGCGUGAGUGACGGUAAUGGGUAAAGAAGCACCGGCUAACUACGUG
rnacentral:rRNA from 1 species